CACUCAAGACUUUUCCAGCUGUCUUUAAAGCAGUGACUUAUACUCGCUUCUCCCUCUCUACAAAUCACCUCAGUUUUCUCUUUUGUUAUCCUCUGCACUGCUCCUUCCCAUCCUGCAAGCCGUGCUUAAGUAUGACUGUUACCAUUUUAUCCCUUCUGCAAGAAUCAGGAAGAGCACAGAUGAGGGUCCAGGCUCAGGCAGCGGAUGCUCACCUGUAGCCAGCGAGUGAUGGAGUGGAUUCAAAGCCAGGUAUUCAGACUCUGAGCCCAGUGUCCUUUCCAAGUGGCACCUCACAAAGAUAAGGCAAUUAAGGACUGAAGAGAAGAAAUACUUGCCCAACAUUAUCCAGAACAAAUGGAUUAAACUAAAGGUGCUUUGAUUCCUACAAAGAGCAUGUGAGUUUCUUUUCUUUUUAAUUUUAUAUUAACUCAUAAUAAAAAAAAUUGUACAAAACCAAAUGAUACCAUUACUUUUCCUGUAAAAUAAAUUAAGAGCUGUCUGAAAAACAUUCGUCAUCUAUGCUAUAGUGUUAGUUUUCCACAAACAUCAGAAAACACACAUACUGAUGAGAUGCAAACAAGAAAAUGAUUUAGGUAUCAGAAUACAACUUUCUCCCUAAAUCCCCUCAAAGCAUUAUGGACUUCCUUAUAGGUAUGGAGGAGGGGGAAAGGGAAAGCACAUUUCCCCCACUAGUUGGUUUUGAUUUAAUAUUUGGACUGGGCUACUGUCCUGUUUCAACAAAGAUCUUAAGCUUUUCCAUUGUAAUAACACCUCUACUUUUGUUCUCUCUGUUUUCUAAACGCAAACAGCUGUAGUUUAACACAAUUAGAAGUGACAUAUAUGAAUUAUUUGACUUUAAAAAAAUAAAAAUUAACAUGCACAAGUCUAUUCAAUCACUGACACAGUAACAAGAACACUUCUUUCUUUCAUUCUUCCCUACC